rnacentral:rRNA from 1 species
UGGGGAAUUUUCCGCAAUGGGCGAAAGCCUGACGGAGCAAUACCGCGUGAGGGAAGAAAGCCUACUGGGUUGUAAACCUCUUUUUUCAGGGAGGAAAAAAAUGACGUGUACCUGAAGAAUAAGCAUCGGCUAACUCCGUGCCAGCAGCCGCGGUAAGACGGAGGAUGCAAGUGUUAUCCGGAAUUACUGGGCGUAAAGCGUCUGUAGGUGGUUUAAUAAGUCAACUGUUAAAUCUUGAGGCUUAACUUCAAAACAGCAGUCGAAACUAUUAGACUAGAGUAUAGUAGGGGUAAAGGGAAUUUCCAGUGGAGCGGUGAAAUGCGUAGAUAUUGGAAAGAACACCGAUGGCGAAAGCACUUUACUGGGCUAUUACUAACACUCAGAGACGAAAGCUAGGGUAGCAAAUGGGAUUAGAUACCCCAGUAGUCCUAGCUGUAAACAAUGGAUACUAGAUGUUGAACAGAUCGACCUGUGCAGUAUUAAAGCUAACGCGUUAAGUAUCCCGCCUGGGAAGUAUGCUCGCAAGAGUG